rnacentral:rRNA from 1 species
GUGUCAGCAGCCGCGGUAAUACGUAGGAGGCAAGCGUUGUCCGGAUUUACUGGGUGUAAAGGGUCCGCAGGCGGGCUUUUUAGUCGGGGGUGAAAUCCUACAGCUUAACUGUAGAACUGCCUCCGAUACUGGAAGUCUUGAAUAUGGUAGAGGGCAACGGAAUUCCAGGUGUAGCGGUGAAAUGCUUAGAUAUCUGGAAGAACACCGGUUGCGAAGGCUGUUGCCUGGGCCAUUAUUGACGCUCAUGGACGAAAGCGUGGGGAUCAAACAGGAUUAGAAACCCCAGUAGUCC